UCUAAGUAUCCGCUGGAUAGCGAGAUACUGAGAUACUGGAGCCGGCUGAGCCGUAAAGGCCACUUAAUGCAAGGCGGCGUCAUCCUUGAAGGCAAACAAACGGGCAAAAAAGGAUUCUCGGAAAGUUCCGGCCGGCAUGAUAAAUAGCCAGGGUUUGGGCCAAGUUUCAGCCAUAGACGUGAGCGGACUGGGAAAUUGGCCCAAAAACGAGGGCCUCAUGUCCCAUCAUUCCAGAAGCUUGACUAUUAUUCACCUGAAGCCAACAUUAAAGAGGGGCGUGCUUAAGUGGAAUCGAAAACAAAUUUAUUUAACAGCCAUCAAAGGGGAUUGGCCCUCUCUACGACUGUCAUAAUGUCGUAAAAAAAGUUCCCUGGCAGAUCCGGCUUAUUGAAUAUGAUUCCCAGAUGUCCUCCUUACAAACAUCAAAGGCAAUAGGGGGCCGGGGAACCGGGAGCCUGGGAGCCAAGGAUAACGUCGCAGACUCAUGCAUAAUUUAAAGCAAUUUGGCAUUUUGCUGAAUCAAUUUCCACGGCAAGACAAUCAAACGGAAAGUAUUAAGACCUGAACUCCAUUCCAAGUGCUGCAGUGCUUUCUAUGCAAAUUACACUCUCCAGCACUGCAACACUUUUUAUGUAAAUCUGGCCGCCACCUGGUGUGUUGGCCAAGAAAAUAAAAAAACCAUAACAGCCGGGAUGAGGUGAAUUAAAGCGCGAUGUAUAUGCCCGA